rnacentral:tRNA from 2 species
UCCGGGGUAGCUCAGUUGGCAGAGCAACGGACUGUUAAUCCGUUUGUCGUGGGUUCGAGCCCCACCCCCGGAGC